UACGUAGGUGGCAAGCGUUAUCCGGAAUCACUGGGCGUAAAGCGUCCGCAGGUGGGAAAGCAAGUUACAUGUGAAAUACCGGUGCUCAACAUCGGAAUUGCAUGUAAAACUACUUUUCUAGAGGGUGGGAGAGGCGAGUGGAAUUCUCGGUGUAGGGGUAAAAUCCAUAGAUAUCGAGAGGAACACCAAAAGCGAAGGCAGCUCGCUGGAACAUUCCUGACACUCAUGGACGAAAGCGUGGGGAGCGAAAAGG
rnacentral:rRNA from 1 species